CCGCGUCCGUGAAGGCAGCAAGGAGAAAUGGAAGAAAAGGUCGCUGUAGGUCCUCGCAAAAGAAGAAUGGAAUGCCCAGCAGGAGAAUUUUAAAAAGAGAUGCCCAAAAGACUGUGCUACCCCCCCAAGAAGAUAAAGUUUUAUGAACCAGACCCUGGCUCACCUAAAGAUAAUGAAGAUGCUUACAUCAUGCGCUGUGGUACGCUCGAUGGAUGGACAGCAGUGGAGAAAACCAAACUCAAAAACGCCUUGAUAAACAAAUGCUGCAUGAGGGCAUUUUAAAGACUUUUUCUAGUAUAGAUGUUUUUUUCUUCUGUGAUUUUAUUGUUUUAAGAGUGUUUAAAAAGCAUU